GGGGAAUAUUGGACAAUGGGCGAAAGCCUGAUCCAGCCAUGCCGCGUGAGUGAUGAAGGCCCUAGGGUUGUAAAGCUCUUUCAGCGGGGACGAUAAUGACGGUACCCGCAGAAGAAGCCCCGGCUAACUUCGUGCCAGCAGCCGCGGUAAUACGAAGGGGGCUAGCGUUGUUCGGAAUCACUGGGCGUAAAGCGCGCGUAGGCGGAUCGUUAAGUCGGGGGUGAAAUCCCGAGGCUCAACCUCGGAACUGCCUUCGAUACUGACGACCUUGAGUCCGGGAGAGGUGAGUGGAAUUCCUAGUGUAGAGGUGAAAUUCGUAGAUAUUAGGAAGAACACCAGUGGCGAAGGCGGCUCACUGGCCCGGUACUGACGCUGAUGUGCGAAAGCGUGGGGAGCAAA
rnacentral:rRNA from 1 species